AAACAAUGAUUCAUUCUAAAGUGUGCAAAAGUUGCUCUUGAGUAUACAUCAAUCUCCAACUUAAAUGAGCAUGCAAAGAUUCUGGUGUUCCAAGAUCCAACAUGGAAUCUGGGCUGGCUGAACUACCCUGAUAUUUGGUAACAAAUACUGCCAGACUUCCUGAGCUUCUCCAGCAAUCUGACUUAGUUAUUUCAAUUGGACACAGUGUAAGUCGUCAACAUGCCUUAUAAACAAGGCAUGCAGCACAGAUGUGGAUAUUGAGACUCGCUUUGCGAUUGUCAGUGCGGCUGAAUUGCUACCUGCACACUUUUAAGAUGCUACCAGACCUGCUGAGUUUCUCCAGCAAUUUCUGUUUUUGUUUCAUAUCUCCAGCAUCCCUACUGAAGACCAGACAUGCAGCAUUCAAGUUGGAUGAGGUAGACCAAUACAGGAAAUCCAGAUAUGUCCUCAGCAAAGCCAUCGGGGAUGCCAAGAAGCAGUACCAGACCAAGUUAAAUGCCCAAACCUACUAAACAGACUGCUGCCACCUAUGGAAAGGCCUGAACAGCAUUAUGGGAUACAUAAUGAAGCUAAGCAAGAUAGCAGACAAAGACACAUCUCUCCCUGACACGCUCAAUGUUUUUUUUCUGUCAACAUGGUGGCAGAGUAGGACGCGCCGGUUGCAGCUCCUCUGCUCUCUAGUCCCUUUCGCUUUCCCUUUUUUCUCCUCUUCGUAGCUUUUCUUUACUUCUCCCCAUCACCCUCCCUGGACAGUGAAGUUGAGGAAUGGAGUGAACCGGCCAUGUCCUGCGGCGGAGCGAUUGGGCAAUUCCCGGAGCAGUGGCGGUUCGAGUCCUGGAUGGAGGCCGGCACGUGGCCUAGUGCUCUGGGGCCUGCAGGCAUGGACUGGAACUUAAGUACAUAUGGCCACUUAUUAUCAUUCUGGAGUUUUUCACUGUUUCAUGCUAAUCUAUAUUCCUUUUUACUCUGUAACAACAUUACAUUUUUUUUACUCUGUAAGAUUCGUACCUAGGUACUUGUACCUAAGAUGGCGCUAUUAAAGCCAGCCAUUGUAAAAACUUUUCACAGUACUCCUGUACUUCUGUACUGGAGCACAUGUUACAAUAAAGGAUACUCUAUUCUAUGCUCAGUUUUAGCAGAAUGCCAGCGGUGCAUUGACGCCUGCCCCAACAGCCCUAGACACACCUGUUCUCUCAGUCACCACUUCAGAUGUCAGAUCAGUCUUCCUGGGAGUCAACCCAAGGAAAGCGAUGGGCCCGGAUGGUGUUCCUGGCCAAGCACUCAACACCAUUAUCCCCUCCAGACUGAUCUCAAAACUGCGUGACCUUGGUCUUGGCUCCACCCUCUGCAAUUGGAUCCUCAGCUUUUUGACUAAAAACACAAUCAGUGACGAUAGGUAACUGCACCUCCUCCACAAUAACACUCAACACUGGAGCCACCCAAGGAUGUGUCCUUAGCCCCCUAAAGUACUCCCUGUACACCCAAGACUGUGUUGCCAAAUUACGAGCAAACGCCAUCUACAAGUUCGCUGACGACACCAGUGUAGUAGGACGGAUAUCUGACAACGAUGAGUCAAAAUACAGAAGGGAGAUAAAGGGCUUGGUGAUGUGGUGCAAUGAGAACAACCUCUCUCUCAAUGUCAGCAAAACUAAAUAACCGAUCAUUGAUUUUAGAAAGAAAGGAGGAGAAUACACCCCUAUCCACAUCAAUGGAACCGAGGUUGAGAGGGUGGAGAGCAUCAAGUUCCUCAGAGUGACGAUAACCGACAACCUGUCCUGGACUUCCCACGUAGAUGCAAUGGUCAAGAAGGCACAAGAAUGCCUCUUCUUCCUCAGGCAGGUAUGGAAAUUUGGCAUGUCCAUGAGGACCCUCACCAACUUCUUUAGAUGCACCAUUGAAAGCAUACUGUCUGGAUGCAUAACAGCCUGGUAUGGCAACUGCUCUUCCCAGAACCAUAAGAAACUACGGAAGGUGGUGUGCACAGCCCAGACCAUCACGGAAGCCAGACUUCUAUGCAUGGAUUCCAUCUACACGGUUUGUUGCCAUGGAAAAGCUGCCAACAACAGCAAAGACCCAUUGCACCCCGGUAAUGAUGCCCUACAACCUCUUCCGUCAGGCAGAAGAUACAGAAGCCUGAAUGCACGCACCAGCAGGUUCAGGAACAGCUUUUCUCAGCUGUUAUUAGACUGAUUGAAUAGACUCCCUAGCCUCAAAUAAUGCUGAUCUUGCUAAUGUUGAUCAUGCCUAGCGCCCUGUGCAAUGUGACCUGUAUGCCUCUAAGACUAUUUACAACCUCUGAUCUGUACAUCCUUGUUUACAGUGAUCUGCCUGUACUUGUAAACAAAGCUUUUCACUGUACUUCGGUACACAUGACAAUCAAUGAGUCAAUAAUCCGCGGUUCUUUUUUUAAUAUCUUUGUUUUCUCAUCAUGUGGUGGAGGGCUAAGAAAUGGAUGGAGGCCAAGAAUAGACCCUCUGGGAAUCCAGAGGUAAUGGCAUGGGAGCCAAAUGAGAAGAAAUUGAAGGCAAUUCUCUGUGGCUGUGAUCAGGUAGGUGAGAAUGGAACACAGCAAUGGCAGUCCCCAUCAGAUGGACAAUGGAGGAAAGGCAUUAGUUAGAGACAAAAAAAAAAUUGCAGAUGCUGGAAUCCAAGGUAGACAAACAGGAGGAUGGAAGAACACAGCAAUCCAGGCAGCACCUGGUGGAAAGGAGCAGUCAAUGUUUCGGGUAUUACCCUUCUUCAGGACUUGGAUUUGGCCAGUAUUCAGCAUUAGAUUUACAGCAUUCUCUCCAAUUAAAUAGUGGAAGGAUCAAAGCCAUUGUCUUCAGCCACAUGUCUGUGCUCUAGCUAUUGAUUCUCUACCCAUUCCUCUUCAGGACCAUUGUCCAAGGCUGAACCAGAUUAUUUGCAACAUUAUCUUAAACUGAGUUUCCAACAUGGGUAAGAUCAUAGAUGGAUAGGGUGGCAAGUGAGCAGGUUGCCAUGUGGUGGAGUGGUAAGGUGGCAGGUGGUUAGAGUAGCAAGUGUAUACAGUAGUAGAUGGAAAUAGUGGCAGGGUGACAGGUAGGUAAGGUAUAGAGUGGUAAGUGAGUUGAGGUGAGCAUGUUGUUCUGUGUUGUAAUUUUACCUGGUUGGUACCCUCUUUUAGGUAUUUCUAGUGUUCUUCUAUACUCCUUGGUGAACCAGGAUUUUCCCAGAAAUUAUGGUAAUGAUAGAAUGAAGAAUGAGUUGGCCAAGAAGUUACUGAUUGUUGGAGAAUGCAAUCUUGCUGCUGCUAUUUGCCUACAGCAGAGCAGAAUGACUUAGUAGGCCACCUCAGAAGGUGGUUUGAAAGUCAACGUUAUUUUAGUGUUAAUGUAGUCAGAACUCAGAUAAGAUAAGAAAUGCAAGUUUUCUUCCCUGAAAGACAUUAAUGAACGAGAUACAAUAAUCCCAGGGUUGGAUAAUCACUAAUAUUUGAUUUUCAUUCAAUUUAUUUAAUUGACUAAAUCUGAGUUCCCCAGCUGCCAUGUUGGGAUGUGAAGCCAUGUUCGUCAAUUAUUAGACCAGGUUCAGUAGCAUAACCAUGAGCUACAGUUCCCUGUUUUACUUUUGUUUUUCCAUGAUUUAAGAUGGCAAGUUUGUUGUGAGGUAGGAGUUAGAGCACAGGAAUAAAAGGCAUGUACUCUUGUGGAAUCUUUCCCUGUAAUUCCUACUGGGAUCUAAACUAUUCACCAUAUCUAUCAAUGACUUUUAUGAAGAAUAGAGUUAUACAUCUAAGAUUACAGUUGACACUGAGCUUGGAGGAGAAGCAAAUUGUGUAAAAAGAAACAAAAAGUUCAAAGUAAACCAAUUAACUGAAUGGCAAAACCAGAAUCCAUGAGCUUUUUCUAAACCUCAUUUAACAGUGCUGUAAAGUUACAUUCCAGAUCAAUGAAGACCUUAAUAAGGAGUAUUCUGUUCGAAGAGUGUGAUUCCUUAAAGAGACACGAGAGGACCUGCAAUUACAAUCAUGUAUGUAAAUAGCUCUGCCAGUGACAGAAAAUGAAAUUGCAAUCAACAUUUGUACUGCAAGCUCAUUUCAAGAAGCCAGAUUGAUGUAUUGUUAACCUGGGUAACAUCUGGGUACCUAGCCUUCAGGAUAAAUAUAAGUCACGAAUUUGAUAGGACUUCAUAGUUUUAUAUUGCCGCUAAGUGCACACUGCAUAAAUGUCACCUGUGUAUCAUAAUAGAUUCUACUAUUAACCCCCUCAACUUAAUAGAAAAGCAUAGUAUGGCAAUGCCCAGAUCACAUGUAACCUCAUUCCUUCAUAUAUGAGUUCAAGUUUUGCUGUAAAUUGCUACGAUGCUAUCAUCUACAAAAAAUAAUCCUUGAGUUUCAGGAAGGAAUGCAAGCUUUGUUGGCUUCUUGCUGUUUUAGAAAAAUGACCUCUGUGAUAACUGCACAAGUAGCAGCUGAGGACCACAUACAUGCCACUUGCUGAAUUUCUGAAGUAGAAUCCUUAUAGAUUCUUCUUAUGUGUCAGCCUGAGCACAGCCUAUCUAUUUUCAAAAUUAAUUAAUCUGUUAGGGCUUCCACUUGUUGAAUGUGAGGCUGGAAUGUAACUACCAAAUUAUUCACAUGUUUGAUUGUUGUCACAUGUACCAAGAAACAGUGAAAAGUGUUUUGCAUGUUACAUAGGAAGAUUGUACUGUACAAAGUGCAUCAGGUUAGCAGAACAGAGUGCAGAAUAUGUGUUACAGCCACAAAGAAGCUGCAGAGAGAGAGAUCAGAAUUAACAUUUGAAAGGUCUGCUCAAAAGUCAGACAACAGCAGGGAAGAAGCUGUUCUUGAAUCUAUUUGUAUGUAUUUUCAAACUUUUAUAUCUUCUGCCUGACGGAAGAGGGUGGAAUAGAGUAUAACUGGGCUGGGAAGGGUCUUUGAUUAUAUUGGUUGCUUUUCUGAGGCAGCAGGAAGUAUAGAUCGAGUCAGUGGAUGGGAGGCUUGGUUUGCGUGAUGGACUGGGCUGUAUUCACGACUCUGUAGUUUCUUGCGGUCUUGGGAAGAGCAGAUGCCAUACCAUGCUGUGUUGCACCCAGAUAGAAUGCUUUCUAUGGUGCAUCUAUAAAAAUUGGUAAGAACCCUGUGGAUGUGCUGAAUUUCCUUAGCCUCCUGAGGAAGUAGAGAUGUUGUUGUGCUUUCUUGACCAGCAUGUCGACAUGGGUGGACCGGGACAAAUAGUUGGUGAUCAUCUCUCCCAGGAACUUGACACUCUCGACAUCUCCACCUCGGCACCAUUGAUGCAAACAGGGGUGUGCCGAUUCCCUCUGCUUCCUGAAGUCACUGACCAGUUCCUUCAUUUUGCUGAUAGUGAUGAAGAGAUUGUUAUCUUUACACCUUGCUGCUAAGCACUCAAUCUCUUUCCUAUAUUCUGUCUCAUUGUUGUUAGAGAUCUGACCUAAAACAGUGGUGUCAUCAGCAAACUUGCAAAUAGAGUUGGAGUGGAAUUUGGUCACAGAGUCAUGAGUUUAGAAGGAGUAUAGUAGAGGGCUGAGUACACAGUUUUGUGGGGUACCAGUGCCAAGGAUAAUGGUGGAAGAGGUGUUGUCUAUUCUUAUUGAUUGCUGUCUAUGGGUCAGGAAGUCAAGGAUCCAGUUACAGAUGGAGGAGCUGAGACCUAGGUCUCAGAGUUCAGGGAUGAGUUUGUUUGGAAUUAUGGUAUUGAAGGUGGAACUGUAGUCAAUAAGUAGGUGCCUGACAUAGGUAUCCAUGUUAUCCAGAUGUUCCAGGGAUGACUGUUGGGCCAGGAAGAUGGCAUCUGUUUUGGACUUGUUGCACCAAUAGGCAAAUUGCAAAGAAUCAAGACAAUUUCAUAGAUUGGAGUUGAUAUAAGCCAUGACUAACCUCUCAAAGCACUUCAUAUUUAUGGAGGUCAGAGCCACUAUGUAGUAGUCGUUGAGGUACACUGCAUGAUUUUUCUUUGGCACCAGAAUGAUGGUGGUCUUCUUGAAGCAGUAGUAAGCAGAAGUUAAAGAUGUUUAUGUGUACUCCCGCCAGCUGCUUUCCAUGGGUUCAUUCUCAAGAAGGACGAUCUAAUGUCAGCAGCAGUGACCAUGGGUACAGGUGCAUCUGAGGCGGUUGGGAAAGUGACAUUGUUUCAUAUAAAUGCUAGAUUUUCUGGCAGCUGUCUUAAUUCAUUUUAUGUAAGUUCAUUGUUUUAUUUAAGCCAGAACAUUGGAAUUCAGAUGCUGAAGAUCUGAAACAAAAAGAGAAAUUGCUGGAGAAAUUCAGCAGGUGUGUCGGCAUCUGUGGAGAGAAAACAGAGUUAAUGUUUCACGUCAGUGACUCUUCUUCAGUUCUGAAGCAACUACUUCUGAACAAUUCUGAAGAAGAGUCACUAGACUUGAAACAUUGUCGCAGCCUUCUCUGCACAGAUACUGACACACCUGCUGAGUUUGUCGAGCAAUUCCUGCAUUUGCCACUAUUCUAGUUCAUUGGAUGAGAAUGGUUAUCCAUUGCCAUUGUGAAUGAUCACAUGUAUAGGUGCCUACUGCACCUCAUGAAGUGUAAAUGCUAAUUGUUAAAUUUAAAAGCAUAGAUUAAUAUUGAGGAGGUUUCCAGUAUACAUCCAGCAGAGUCUGUAGUAUUGUGAUUGUGCUCAAUGCCUCAUCCAAUUCUUCCCUGAGAAAGAACAUUGAUUGCCAUGAGGAAGAAGGAGAGAUAGCUGGGAUAUUACACCUAGCAAAGGGAAACAGCCCAAAUGAGAAGCAGAAGAUCAAGCUUUACUGGCUUCAAAAGCAUUUGCAGACAGCCUGUCAUGGGCACCUUCCCUACUCAUCAAAUUAAGCCAAUCAAUAUCGACAGCAUAUUAAUGCAUCCAAUUUCUUGUUUUCAAUCAUGUUAAUGCUAUACAAUUCUGUACAUUGUAUGUAAAUGGAAAAUGUAAUGAUCAGCAAAUGCUUUGUUUCAAACACUUCCUAACAUUACAACGCAUACCUUGAUGAACUUUUUAAUUCCCCUUAGUGUUAAAGCCAUUUGACUUAAUUUAAAACUCCUUCUGGGGGCAUUCUGAGGCUCAGGUGCACAAGAUAUGGCACUGCAAAAUAUGACUGUGAGUCUCUUAGGAAAGAGGUGGUACUCAAAUGAGGACAGACAUAAUUCUGACCCAUGCAAUUACAAGGUCUUUUCUUGCCAUGUCCUCUUCUUUAUCCAGCCUCCAUCCUUCUAUUCCUUCUGCCUGCAGUUCAGUCUUUGUCCUUCCACAUCCCUCCUCUCUUUCUGUUUACUGGUCCAUCCUCUAUUCUUCCUCGCUUCAUUUAUCUUGUUUCUUUCCACAUCUAGCCUCCCUGUCAUCCAUAUUUCUUUAAUGCCUAGGCUGAUAUCUCAAUGAACUUUGUACCUAACUUGCCAAGUCUGUAAACAAAGUUGAUGUCACAUUUGAUUUCCAAUAUGAGUUUUUGACCAUCUGUCUGCAUUACCACUAUGACCAUCUAUUCCCACUUCUCCCAUUUCCUUACUGUUUCAUACUUGAGGUCAGGCUCUCUCCCUCUGCACUUUCACCUUAAAGCCCUUUCACCAUGAUCUAUUUACUCUUCUUCCCUUUCUCUUUCUCCUCGUCAAUUCGUCAAUCUCCAGCCCCAUUUCUCACUACUUCCUAUGGUGUCAUCUAGAAGUAUUCCCCCUGCUUCUUCUAUUCAUCCAUUCCCACUCUUAGUCCCACUCCAACCACCACUAGAUCUGAUGGCUCCUCUUUCUUCCCCCUUCCACUCACCAAAUCCUACUCCCUUUCUUCUAUGUCUUUUGGAUCAUCUUUUCUACUUACAUCUUCCUUCCUGGUAAAGGCUUCUGUCUGUAUUUCUUAACUCCAAAUCCUUAUGUACCCUUGUUUGCACCUUCAGGGACUCUGCCUGAAAACCCCUAUUCUCAUCUCCUGGUUUAUCAAAUUCCCUUCAAAAGCAUCUUCUAAAAGUUCCUGUUAGCUCAAUACCAACCCCACCAAAAAAAAACACUCAGAUGCAAGUAACACAUAGUCAACAGGUACAUAAAAACUAAAUGAGCACUUUAAUACUUAAGGGACAAGUUUCCAGUUCUAUAUGAGGAAGCUGUUAAAAGGUAUCCAGAAGACCUCCAGGAAAGAGCCAUUGGAGAGGUCAUUUUUAGGAGUAAGAAAGUUGGGAUAGAGCAACUGGGGGACUGAGAAAUGGAAAGAGAAUAGAAGACAUUGGGAACCAAAUGGGAGAUAUGAGGCCAGAGAAGAGGCCUCAAGCUACCAGUUGUCUCAGCAGUAAAAGCCAGGAGGGAUAGAAUUAGAACUUUAAAGUCAACUUAAAAUAAAACUUAAAACCUAACUGCAAACACCCAAAUCAAGGACAGGAAUGAAAAUCUUAUCUGUAGCGUCACCUAGAGAAGAAUGUAACAUGGUGGGACAGCAGUGUCAAUUAGCACUGGAAGGACUGACAAAUGAAUAUUAAUAUCACAGUAAAUACAUAUAUAUAACAUUAAAAAUUAAAUACAUUGCCAAAGGGGUAACUGCUUGUUGUAACAAAAUAUACCUAUACACAGGAUUUAAUACCAGUGAAUCAAUAUAUUUAGCAAAUUGUAGAUAAAUAAUUGUGAAAAGUUGAAUUUAAAAUUUACACACAAGUAAUCAAGAACACUGGCACAAAACCAUUGUUGUACUUGUGUGAUCUGGCAGUGGCCUUGACAGACUUUAAAUUGUCAAACUGUCUAAAUGACGUCCAGUACUAGAUGUGCAGAAAUUCCUCCAAAUAAGUUUUGGUAAGGUGGCAGUCAUUGUCAUUGGAUCCUACCACAGACACUGUUCCCCAGCCAUUGGCUUCAAGUCUCUCAAUGCCAAAUUUCUGGGGGCGGCACGGUGGCUCAGUGGUUACCACUGCUGCCUCACAGCGCCAGGACCCAGGUUCAGUUACCACCCUCCGGCAACUAUCUGUGUCGAGUUUGCACGUUCAUCCUGUGUUGGGUGGGUUUCCUCUGGGUGCUCCGGUUUCCUCCCACAGUCCAAAGAUGUGCAGGCUAGGUGGAUUGGCCAUGCUAAAUUCCCCAUAGUGUUCAGGGAUAUGUAGAUUAGGUGGGUUAAAUGGGGAUGGGUCUGGGUGGGAUGCUCUGAGGGUCGGUGUGGACUUGUUGGGCCGAAGGGCCUGUUUCCACACUGUAGGGAUUCUAUGAUCUAUGAACCACUGUUAAAAAAAAGUGUCACAUUUGACCCCAAAAUGAGUUUUGACCACCUGUGCCACUAUUAAGACUCCCUAUUUCCAACUCGAUAAACAAAAAUCAGACUCUGCCCUGCCUCUAGAUCUGACUACUCCAGAAUACUCUCCACAUUACACUUUCUAUAAAAUUGAGUCAACGUCAAUUCUCCUGCCCAAAUUCUUACUCCCACCAAAUGCCAUUGACCUAUCACCACUAUUAUCGCUGACCCGGAUGGGAUGACGUUUGUAUGUGCAUGUUGGAAAUCCACCUCUGGAGUCUUCUACUUUUCACAUGGUGUACACAAUAAUCUAAGGAACUUUACAAACUCAGGAUCCUGUGCAAUAACUUUAUGAUGCAUACGUCGAUUUACCAACUUAUUUCUGCAUUUGGAACUAUUGGGCAUGUCAGAUUACAUACAUUUUCGAAUACCCAGAGGCGUUUCACACCUCAUGAAAGAUGAUAAGGACCAUUGUAGGAAACACCAUGUGAAAGGUGGGCAUCUAAUGCCUAGCGUUUGAUCUGUUAAUGUUAACCACUUAAGUAGUUAUCAAACUCUUCAAAGUAAUCUAUAUGUAAAUGUUGUCCGAUGUUGAUUGUUAAUUAUCGUACAACUAAUUGAACAGCAUUCGGCUCGGUGCUUUCUUUUUCUGUAGGUGCAAACACGAUAGAUGGAAUGGCCUCCUGCGCCGCGCUAUUUUCAACAUUUUUUAAAUAGCUGAAGAGGAGGUAAUGAAUUGCUCCUUAUGAGAACCAGUAGGUUGUGAAUGGCUUUCUUCUGUGCUGUAGCGAUGAUUCCAUCCUAUUAUGUGACAUCCGUGUUCGAGAUCAUAUUUACUUCUUAAUUAUUAAGCUGUGCACCAAAAUGUGACGCUUUAAGUAAUAUUUCAAACACGUGCACAAUAAACGGCAGAUCUGAUUCA